rnacentral:rRNA from 1 species
CCUACGGGAGGCAGCAGUGGGGAAUAUUGGACAAUGGGGGGAACCCUGAUCCAGCGACGCCGCGUGAGUGAAGAAGUAUUUCGGUAUGUAAAGCUCUAUCAGCAGGGAAGAAAAUGACGGUACCUGACUAAGAAGCCCCGGCUAACUACGUGCCAGCAGCCUCGGUAAUACGUAGGGGGCAAGCGUUAUCCGGAUUUACUGGGUGUAAAGGGAGCGGAGACGGUGCAGCAAGUCUGAUGUGAAAGGUCGGGGCUCAACCCCGGGACUGCAUUGGAAACUGUUGAACUGGAGUACAGGAGAGGUAAGCGGAAUUCCUAGUGUAGCGGUGAAAUGCGUAGAGAUUAGGAGGAAUACCAGUGGCGAAGGCGGCUUACUGGACUGUAACUGACGUUGAGGCGCGAAAGCGUGGGGAGCAAACAGGAUUAGAUACCCGGGUAGUC